GAGAGAGAAAGAGCCACCGCCGGCCACCGGAUUUUGUCACUGUUCCGGCCGAGUUACUGUACACGCGCCGGACAGAAAGCUUGCCCACCUCAUUUCCGGCAAAACCUCCAAAUUUCACGGCGAACGGCCGCCGGACGCGCCCGGAUCGGACGUCCGAAGUUUGGCGGCGAUUUUUCCCCUCCACCGCCGGCCACCGCGAAUCGGCACUAUUCCGGCCGAUAAACAGUACACGCGCCUGACAGCCUUGAUCCUCUCCUCAAGUCUGGCCUACCCACCAAAAAGCACGACCAUCGGACCACCGACGCGCCGGGAUCGGAGCGUUUUCCGGCGAGGGGUCAAAAAUCUUCAAACGGUGAUUUCUCCGCCGUCCGACCUCCGUUUUGCUCACCGUCGGUCUCGUUGGAUUGCUCUCCUCACGAUCUACAAAUCUGCAAAAUUUCACAGCAAACGGCCACCGUCGGAAAUUACUGUUCCGGCGACGGUUGCCGGUGACGUGGCGGCCCGCCGGAAAUUAUUGUUCCGGCGAGUACCCCGAAAAUUCCGGCCAGCUCCAGUCCGCAGUGUUCGACCUCCUGAACCCAAAUCCGACUUUCGUUUCCACCAAUUCGCGACGGUUUGGGAGAAUUGCGGAGCCGAAACCCGAAAAGCUUCCCGAUAAAAUUCCGACCCCGUCGGGUACGAUCAUCGGAAAUUAAGACCGGAUCUGUGAUUAGCAUCACUCGAGCUUCGAUUCGGUGCACGUGCAAGUAGCGGAGUCGAUCCUGCGGAGGAUCUUGAUUGAGAUACGUGCACAAGUGUGCACACGGUUGUGAUUAGCGCGCAGGUGGGUGUGAUUAGCGCGCAGGUGAUGUGAUUAGCGCGCAGGUGGGUGUGAGUAGCGCGCGGUUGAUAUUAUGAGAGUGUCCUGUGGAUGCCAUCGGAGAGGGCGGCCACCCCCCUUUGGCCGGGACACCAGGUUAGCAGCGGCGCAGUGGGACGCCACGCGACCGUAUGCCGGUUUCUUUCUAUAACCUCCUGUCUGGCGGUACCUUGGGACGCUGGGUACUGUUGGCGCCACUGGUAUAUAGUGGGUGCAUCAAAUUAUUUUCAGAACUGUGUUUUAAAAAUAAAAUGUUAAUGAAAAAUAUAAUUGUUACCGCUUCUGGUAUUUAAUUGAUGUCUUGGUUUUCGGGAAAUAUGAAUAAAGGGUUUUGUGAAAAUGUUUUAAAAGGGGAACCUUUCCAACUGAGAGAAUUGUAAGGGUUUUGAGAGACAUUAUUAUUUCCAAAUAAUUAUUAUUUAUAUACCUAUUACCGUGGUAUGAUAGUGUAGAGU